GAGCUUGCUCCACCGGAAAAAGAAGAGUGGCGAACGGGUGAGUAACACGUGGGUAACCUGCCCAUCAGAAGGGGAUAACACUUGGAAACAGGUGCUAAUACCGUAUAACAAUCGAAACCGCAUGGUUUUGAUUUGAAAGGCGCUUUCGGGUGUCGCUGAUGGAUGGACCCGCGGUGCAUUAGCUAGUUGGUGAGGUAACGGCUCACCAAGGCCACGAUGCAUAGCCGACCUGAGAGGGUGAUCGGCCACAUUGGGACUGAGACACGGCCCAAACUCCUACGGGAGGCAGCAGUAGGGAAUCUUCGGCAAUGGACGAAAGUCUGACCGAGCAACGCCGCGUGAGUGAAGAAGGUUUUCGGAUCGUAAAACUCUGUUGUUAGAGAAGAACAAGGAUGAGAGUAACUGUUCAUCCCUUGACGGUAUCUAACCAGAAAGCCACGGCUAACUACGUGCCAGCAGCCGCGGUAAUACGUAGGUGGCAAGCGUUGUCCGGAUUUAUUGGGCGUAAAGCGAGCGCAGGCGGUUUCUUAAGUCUGAUG
rnacentral:rRNA from 1 species